UAAAUGCGUACGUGCUGCUCAGCGUCGUUUGACGGUUAUAUUUCGCGUUAGCGCUUACCUUUGAAUUACG
rnacentral:SRP_RNA from 1 species